rnacentral:lncRNA from 1 species
UACACCUGUAUAGCUAACUGCCUACUAGCUAGAUACACUUUUACAGCUAACUCUACUAGCCAGGUACUCAUAUACAACUCUUUACUACCAAAGUGUACAGCUAACUGAGAUUUGUUCUCUAUUAUACCUUGGAUCAGUCUUGUUUUCAUGUUGGUUUUUCUGUAGGUGUAUGGGACGGUUUCACCAAGCUGAGAGCUGAGUUCUCCCCUCAGGCUGGUGGCCACACCUACUUCCUGCCCUGGCAGCGCUACUUCCUGCGGGUGGUGGAGCAGGAGCUCCAGGCUGUGUCGUCAUGCCAACUGGGUGUUCCGUACUUCGAGUGGACGGUCGACUCUGGGGAUCUUUUGACCUCAGCUGUCUGGCAGGCCGAGAUUUUUGGAGGAGACGGAGAGAGAGAGGGGAAUGGCGAGAGGGAAAGGGAUGAAGAGAGGGAUAGAGCGAGUGAGGGGGAUGGAGAGCAAGAGAGCAACUCUGUCUCAGGCUGUGUCCCCCACCACUCCUUCCAGGGCUUGUCUGCACGGUUCCACUGGUCCCCCUGUCUACGACGGAGCUUCAACACCUCGGUGUCUGUGCCUGACGCGGUGAGCGUCCAGAGGCUACUGUCCCAGGGAAACUUCCUGUCGUUCUCCCAGGCUCUGCAGGGGCUGUCUGGGCUAUUUAGGCUCUGGGUGGGGGGCCACAUGGCCUCUCCUCUGGCCGCCUAUGACCCCCUCUACCUCUCACACGCCGCUUUCAUCGACAAGCUCUGGACACACUGGCAGGACAGGCACAGAGACGUGCACACUCAUGAAGAAGCUCAUGGGCACACUCACCUACACACCCAGUACCCGGUGAGGCAGCGCCACGUCAAGAUGAAGCCGUUCGGCAUUGCUCCUGAUGAUGUGAUGUCUUCACGGGAACAACUGUGUGUGGUGUAUGUACCCAUAACCCUCGGAGCUCCCUGCAAUGUGACAUCAUCACUCCUUGCCGAAAGAGGGAAGGGCCGCCACAGAGGAGCGAAAGACACUGCCAGCUAUCACAGAAAGAGAC